GGUGGAGCCGAGUAGAGACAAGACGGACUGCGCACGGAGAAGUCCUGGUAAGGCGACGGAGGACCCGGGUUCGAUUCCCGGCACCUCCA
rnacentral:tRNA from 1 species